GGGGCAGCAUAUCAAAGCUUGCUUUGAUGAUGGCGACCGGCGCACGGGUGAGUAACACGUAUCCACCUGCCGACAACACUGGGAUAGCCUUUCGAAAGAAAGAUUAAUACCGGAUGGCCCCGCAUGGGUAAAGAAUUUCGGUUGUCGAUGGGGAUGCGUUCCAUUAGGCAGUUGGCGGGGUAACGGCCCACCAAACCAACGAUGGAUAGGGGUUCUGAGAGGAAGGUCCCCCACAUUGGAACUGAGACACGGUCCAAACUCCUACGGGAGGCAGCAGUGAGGAAUAUUGGUCAAUGGACGAGAGUCUGAACCAGCCAAGUAGCGUGAAGGAUGACUGCCUAUGGGUUGUAAACUUCUUUUAUACGGGAAUAAGUUAGCCACGUGUGGCUUUUUGUAUGUACCGUAUGAAUAAGGAUCGGCUAACUCCGUGCCAGCAGCCGCGGUAAUACGGAGGAUCCGAGCGUUAUCCGGAUUUAUUGGGUUUAAAGGGAGCGUAGGCGGGUUGUUAAGUCAGUUGUGAAAGUUUGCGGCUCAACCGUAAAAUUGCAGUUGAUACUGGCGACCUUGAGUGCAACAGAGGUAGGCGGAAUUCGUGGUGUAGCGGUGAAAUGCUUAGAUAUCACGAAGAACUCCGAUUGCGAAGGCAGCUUACUGGAUUGUAACUGACGCUGAUGCUCGAAAGUGUGGGUAUCAAACAGGAUUAGAUACCCUGGUAGUCCACACAGUAAACGAUGAAUACUCGCUGUUGGCGAUAUAG
rnacentral:rRNA from 1 species